CCUUGUUUAUCUUAGUGGCGGACGGGUGAGUAACGCGUGGGUAACCUGCCCUGUACAGGGGAUAACACUUAGAAAUAGGUGCUAAAACCGCAUAAGCGCACAGUACCGCAUGGUACAGUGUGAAAAACUCCGGUGGUACAGGAUGGACCCGCGUCUGAUUAGCUGGUUGGAGGGGUAACGGCCCACCAAGGCGACGAUCAGUAGCCGGCCUGAGAGGGUGAACGGCCACAUUGGGACUGAGACACGGCCCAAACUCCUACGGGAGGCAGCAG
rnacentral:rRNA from 1 species